rnacentral:rRNA from 1 species
UUCGCAAUGCCCGAAAGGGUGACGAAGCGACGCCGCGUGUGGGAAGAAGGCCUUCGGGUUGUAAACCGCUGUUGGGAGUUAGGAAGUGUGGGAGUGUUAAUAGCGCUUCCACUUGACUAAAGCUCCAGAGGAAGCCACGGCUAACUCUGUGCCAGCAGCCGCGGUAAUACAGAGGCGGCAAGCGUUGUUCGGAAUUAUUGGGCGUAAAGAGCACGUAGGCGGCUCUGCAAGUCAGCUGUGAAAGCCUUCUGCUUAACGGAAGAACAGCAGUUGAAACUACAGGGCUUGAGUGCGGGAGGGGAGAGUGGAACUUCUGGUGGAGCGGUGAAAUGCGUAGAUAUCAGAAGGAACACCGGCGGCGAAGGCGACUCUCUGGUCCAUAACUGACGCUGAGUGUGCGAAAGCUAGGGGAGCAAACGGGAUUAGAUACCCCGGUAGUCCUAGCCGUAAACGAUGGGCACUAAGUAGAGGGGUUUU